UACGAACUGUGCGAACGUUAUUCGGAAUCACUGGGCUUACAGGGUGCGUAGGCGGCUUAGCAAGUCAGGUGUGAAAGCCCCCGGCUCAACCGGGGAACUGCGCUUGAAACUGCUGAGCUCGAGUCAGCUAGAGGUACACGGAACUUCCAGUGGAGCGGUGAAAUGUGUUAAUAUUGGAAGGAACACCGGAGGCGAAAGCGGUGUACUGGGGCUGGUCUGACGCUGAGGCACGAAAGCCAGGGGAGCGAACGGG
rnacentral:rRNA from 1 species